ACUAUAGGCGCCCACCACCACACCCGGCCAAUUUUUUGUAUUUUUAGUAGAGACGGGGCUUCACCAUGUAAGCCAGGAUGGUCUCUGUCUCCUGACCUCAUGAUCUGCUCGCCUUGGCCUCCCAAAGUGCUGGGAUUACAGGCGUGAGCCACUGUGCCCGGCCGAGAAAUAACAUUUUUUUUAAAGUCAGUUCCCUUUAAGUGAAAACUUUUCAGUAAAAGGUUUUAUCAUGUUAGAUUGGCUUUUUAAAAAGUAGAUCAAGAGGCAUGUUUUAAAAUACAGGCGGUUGUCUAACAAGCUGUUCCUAAGCAAGGUUCUGGUUUGUUUUAGGUCAGUAUGACGGUAGGGGAAAGCCAUUGCCAGAGUACCACGUGCGAAUCGCCGGGUUUGAUGAGCGGGUGACAGUCAUGGCGUCUCUGCGAAGGCCCAAGCGCAUCAUCAUCCGUGGCCAUGACGAGAGGGAACACCCUUUCCUGGUGAAGGGUGGCGAGGACCUGCGGCAGGACCAGCGCGUGGAGCAGCUCUUCCAGGUCAUGAAUGGGAUCCUGGCCCAAGACUCCGCCUGCAGCCAGAGGGCCCUGCA
rnacentral:lncRNA from 1 species